rnacentral:lncRNA from 10 species
AGGUCUGGGGCUCUCUUCCCAGAGAGCUCGUAGGGGAGGACAGUCAAGGGACUCAAGCGUCUCUCUUGACUCCCCUUCUCUCGCUGUGCAGUGGCGGCGCCGAGGGGUCGACGCUCAGGGCUAAUCUCUAUGAGUCACCCUCGAGGCCCCGGGUAAUAUUGGGUGGAUCACAAGAACUAAUCUUUCAUGAUUUGGAAACCGGAAGGAAAGAAGCACUUUUGUAGCUGACUUACCUCAAUGACAUGACCAGUGUCUGAGCCUACAACUGCGCUAUCUUCCCUGGAUUUUUCUUCACCUUUUCCUUACUCAUGAGCCAGGACAUGAACCUGGAGCCUGCCCGGAUGCGAAAGGAGCUGUAACACUGAAUCCCUCUCACCCUAUGCCAGUGCUGGAUGGCUGUCCCAUGUGAUGGGAAGUGGUGGUGGGGCCAGGCCAGCCCAGGAGCCAUCAUGGGCCAGAGUGGGGCAGCAGGACCAAACAAGCUAUAACACAAAUAAGCUGAAACAUGUUCCUGGCUGGCCUGCCAAGCUGCCAGCAGUGACAUGUUCCCAUUCGCCAGACUACAAGACAAGAGAGCUGUGACCCUUCUGGGGACCCAGACCUCGGGACUCCCUGAGUCAGAGCUGUGACAUGCUGUAACACCCCCUUGGGGCUCUGUGGUUGCUGGUGUCUCUGAGUUUUUGGGCACCACUGCAUUCCCCCUGUCCAGAUGCUGCUGCCUGGCCCAGCUACAGCCCCUCACAAAACUCACGCCUGUGCUGGUGCCUGGAGCUGCCCACCCCACUGCAGCAGCUGGCACACCUGGCUGUGCAUCAUGGCUGGACCCUACACUUGCUCACUCACACACCCCUUGCCAUUCUGUGCCUGGCUUGUCCACAGUGGGCAUGGGAUCUGGGCCAGUAGCGCAAGCUCAGUACAGCCUGCCAGGCCGAGUGGGUGGAGCCAGCUCAGCAGUCAAAAGUGAAACUCAGGCAGAGGCACCACUGGCCACAGAGGUUACCGAAAGAAUCGUGUGUCACUACUGUUAGCGGUGCCUAAUUUAUACAGGUCUGCAGCAACUUCAGUUCUUGCCUUCUAAGAAGAGAGAAUUCAACUGAGGUGGGUCAUAAGGCAGAGUCAGAGACUGAGGCAAGUUUUAAGCAGGAAUGAAAGUUUAUUAAAAAGUUUUAAGUAGGAAUGAGAGGAAGUAAAGUACACUUGGAAGAGGGCCAAGCAGGUGAUGUGAGAGAGUCAAGUGCCCAGUUUGACCUUUGACUUACAGUUUUGUAUGUUCCAGCAUCUUCUGUCCCUUCUCACCUGAUUCUUCCUUUGAAGUGGGCUGUCUGCAUGCACAGUGGCCUGCUAGCACAUGGGAGGGACCACAGGCACAGUGAGUUUACUGGAGUUGUAUGCAUGCUCAGGUGAGGCAUUCUUCCCUUACCAGUUGAGUGUUCCUAGAGGAAGGUCAUAUACCAGUUAAACUCUGCCAUUUUGGCUCUUAACGCACAUGCUUGAGACCACUCACCCAAUUCCUGAGAUCUUAUCGGAAAGCUGCUGAUCACCAGUUUCAGUUUUUUCCAUCUAUUGGGAGACUGCCUUUCUCUGGUGCCGGCUGCGACCCAUUAGUAUUUUGGAGAGACAGUUAACUACCUGACUAUCACCUGAUGGUUGCCUAAUGUUAGUAGGGGGGCAUCUCUCCUACCCUGCUCAUGUCUGCCUGACUACCUAAUGUAACACUACUUUAAAUUAUUAUUCUGGUUGAUUUCUUAGCCCCAAAGAUGAAUCAUCCCUCCUCCUUUCUUAUUUCCCAAAACAUUACUAACACAAAAUGGGGAUCACCUUAAAGUUCAGUGUUAGGCAGCAUUGCCCCUGGCUAUUUCCAUCAUAAGUAAACAGCCUUCUUUCUCCAGAGCCCCCUCCUGCUGGCUUGUUGCUGGCCCCUCCUCUUCUUCUUGUUUAUUGUACAACAAAACCGCACAGGCAAAGCUUAAAAUUUGCUGGUACUUUAACUUGCAGAGAAAUUUAACUGCUUCCCUCAACCUCCUGCCCAUAUCAGAAUAGAGGCCUUUGUAUGCUAGAGUUUCCAAUACCAAAUAAUGGCAACAAUAAUAAAUAGUGACAACAUUUUACAUUAUAUAUUACUUUAAGUUAUAGCAAAGCAAAUUUUGAGUAGGGCUCUCUCCCCACCAGCAAGAUUCUUGGGAUCUUAUCGUUUGUGGGGAGGAAUCUGGAAACUGUAUUAUAAUAGACACCCUUUUAUCUGAUAUUAUUGAAUUGUUAGUAGGGUAACUAUUAACAAUUAAUUGAAAAGUCAGUUAAUACAAAGAUUCAUAAAAUGAUAUGUUUUAUAUUUUAUUAAAAUGUGUAACCUGUU